CACAGCGUCCUCUUUCUCUAACCACUCCUUGCAGCUGUCUGAGUCCAAAUCUCCUUCAUUCUUCCGAACAUUUCCCAAUCCCUGUCCAAAACCCUCACUCUCAAAACCCAAAUCACGCAAUGAAGAUGGCUUAAAAAACAAGCUAUCAGCCCACUCAACUAGAGCUGCAUUUUUAGCCACGUCAAGACGACCCAUAAAGGCGAUCUCAGCUAUAACCACAAGAA
rnacentral:misc_RNA from 1 species